rnacentral:rRNA from 1 species
GUGGGGAAUAUUGGACAAUGGGCGAAAGCCUGAUCCAGCAAUGCCGCGUGAGUGAUGAAGGCCUUAGGGUUGUAAAGCUCUUUUACCCGGGAUGAUAAUGACAGUACCGGGAGAAUAAGCUCCGGCUAACUCCGUGCCAGCAGCCGCGGUAAUACGGAGGGAGCUAGCGUUGUUCGGAAUUACUGGGCGUAAAGCGCACGUAGGCGGCUUUGUAAGUUAGAGGUGAAAGCCUGGAGCUUAACUCCAGAACUGCCUUUAAGACUGCAUCGCUUGAAUCCAGGAGAGGUGAGUGGAAUUCCGAGUGUAGAGGUGAAAUUCGUAGAUAUUCGGAAGAACACCAGUGGCGAAGGCGGCUCACUGGACUGGUAUUGACGCUGAGGUGCGAAAGCGUGGGGAGCAAACAGGAUUAGAAACCCCGGUAGUCC